rnacentral:rRNA from 1 species
GAUGAACGCUGGCGGCGUGCCUAAUACAUGCAAGUCGAGCGAACAGAUGAGGUGCUUGCUCCUCUGACGUUAGCGGCGGACGGGUGAGUAACACGUUGAUAACCUCCCUAUAAGACUGGGAUAACUUCGGGAAACCGGUGCCAAUACCGGAUAAUAUAUUCAACCGCAUGGUUCAAUAGUUUAAGACGGUUUUGCUGUCACUUAUAGCUGGAUCCGCGCGGCAUUAGCUAGUUGGUAAGCUAACGGCUUACCAAGGCAACGAUGCGUAGCCGACCUGAGAGGGUGAUCGGCCACACGAGAGGUGAGACACGGACAAGAGGACUAAGAGAGGCAGCAGAAGGGAAUGUGCCGCAGUAGUGGAGAGCAUGACGGAGCGAGGCCGAGUGAGUGAUAAAAGUCUUGGGAGAGGGAAAAUGUGUUAUGAGGUGAAAACAAAUGUGUGAGGAGCUAUGGACGUAUUGACGGUACCUAAACAGAAAGCAACGGCUAACUACGUG